GUCUCGGUGGCGUAAUUGGUUAACGCUCCACUCAUGUAUAGUGGCAUUCCCGGUUCGAAUCCGGGCUGAGGCA